GAGCCGCUAGCUCAGUUGGUAGAGCACCGCCCUUUUAAGGCGGGUGUCCUGGGAUCGAGGCCCAGGCGGCUCA
rnacentral:tRNA from 1 species